CGAACCCGGGCGCGAGGCGCCUUUGCAGCCCCCGCCCCCGCCCCCUCUUUGCCCUGCCAACGCCAACGCCAACGCCAAAGUCAAAGCCAGCGCCGCCGCGUCCCUCUCCCCUCCCCACCAACUCCCCCAAAUAUGGACACCAGCAAGCUCCGGGCUUUUGUGAAAUUAUGUCAACAAGAUCCUGCCCGACUACACAACGAGGAGCUGAGCUUCUUGAGGGAGUGGGUGGAGAGCUUGGGUGGGAGGAUACCUCCUCCUCCAAGAAGAAUAAGAUCUGAAGAAAGAUUCAAGGGAGGGGAGGAAAGAAAGUUAUGGGAUGAAACCACCAAGAAAGAAGACGUCGAAACUGAGGAAAGUGAUCUAGAACUUGAUAAUUCAGGAGUGAUUGAAGACGAUAUGGACGGCCCCCAGGAAAUGGGAGAUGCAACUGCAGAGGUAACAGAUGAGAUGAUUGAUCAGGCCAACGAGAUGAAGGUGAAGGGCCUCGAUGCCCUGCAUAAUGGUGAAUUCCAGAAAGCCCUUGAACUAUUCACAGAGGCCAUCAAAUUGAAUCCUUGGUUGGCCAUUUUAUAUACCCUAAGAGCCAGUAUCUUUAUUGAAUUGCAAAAGCCAAAUGCUGCAAUCAGAGAUUGUAGCAAAGCAAUUGACCUUAACCCCCACACAGCUGAACCUUACAAAUGGAGAGGGAAAGCACACAGACUUCUGGGACACUGGGAGGAGGCAAGCCAAGAUCUGUCCUUGUCUUGUAAACUAGACUUUGAUGAAGAUGCUAAUGCUGUGCUUAAGGAUGUUCAACCAAGGCUCCAGAGGAUUCAAGAACACCGGAGAAAAAAAGAGCUUCGCCAGAAGAAACGUGAGCAGAGAUGUGAGGAGCAAAAGUACAGAGAAAGGUUAGAAAAAAUGAGGAAGGCUAGAGAGGAGUAUGAUAAAGCUAAACAAGAGGAAGAAGAUAGGAAAAAGGCAGCUCACUUUGCCCCUUUCCAAUUUUUUCUAGGAGAACUCCCUAGAAUGAGGAGGAGAAUGCGGACCAUUCCUGGUACAUCAGUGCUCAAUGAAAUUCUUGGUGACCCAGAAAUUCUUACAGCCAUGCAAGAUCCAGAAGUCAUGCACGCAUUCCAGGAUGUGGCCCGGCAUCCAGAAACCAUGGGCAGGUAUAAGAACAACUUAAAGGUUAUGAAUUUCUUCAGCAAAUUGUCAAACAAAUUUGGAGGGUAUGAGGACAUUUCAGGUGAAGAUCCAGAGCCUGAUGAGGAAUUAGAUGAAGUUCCCAGUGAAGAUAGCUUUGAGGUUUUGGAUGAAGGUGAUCUUUGGCUCCCAAGGAAAUGCCUUGAUGAUUAUCUCAACAACUUUGAACGACAAGGUCUGCAAAAAGGGAUGAAAGAGAACUUGGAGGUUGUACCUAGUGAAGAAGAAGUCAAUUUAAGGCGGCUGCCCUAUUUUAAGGAUUUGGAAGAGCUCAGUGAAGAAGAACAGUAAGUAUGGACCUCCCUCCCCUCCACUCCCAGAUUUGGUACCUUUUUUCUUGUGUGACACCACUGUGCAGCUUUCCUUAAACCUUCAAGAAGACAUCAUGCCAUUAUGUUAAGUAUACAGCAAAAGAGUUCAACUAAAACACUGGACCUAGAGUAUAUAGAAGACUCUGAAAGUGUCAAGGGUGAAGCCUUCUAUGAGUUGACAUAAUUUUUAGUUUGCACCCCAAACUGGACUCCCUGUGUAUUCUUGGGAAUCAAGAUGUAUGCCAAUCAGUCUGAACCAGAAACUGCUUGUGUAACUGGGACUUUUAGAUAAGCAGACCAUCCUACCUUCAUGGUCUAGCAUGGUCCAGCAAGGGAAAAGAACGCUGCUUUUGCCAUCACCUUGUUCCUUCCCUUUAGGAGAGGUUUUGUCCUUUUUUCUACUUUUAUUAUCUCUUUCUCCCUUCCUAUGCCAUUUCCCUUUAGGGGAAAAAUUCUCUUAUCUCCUCCAUCUGUUGUACUGUAAUAAAAACUUCUGCACUGAUUGCGAACUCUUUGCUUUAGCUUUGGGUUCCCCAAUGCAUCUUCAUUUCUCUUGUAAUAAAUCUAGUUGCAAUGCAA